rnacentral:rRNA from 1 species
UAAGCGGGAAACUUGCCUCAAGAUGAGAUCUCACUGGGAACUUGAUUCCCCUGAAGGGCCGUCGAAGACUACGACGUUGAUAGGCUGGGUGUGUAAGCGUUGUGAGGCGUUGAGCUAACCAGUACUAAUUGCCCGUGAGGCUUGACCAUAUAACACCCAAACA